AGUGAACGCUGGCGGUAGGCCUAACACAUGCAAGUCGAACGGCAGCACAGUAAGAGCUUGCUCUUACGGGUGGCGAGUGGCGGACGGGUGAGGAAUAGAUCGGAAUCUACUUUUUCGUGGGGGAUAACGUAGGGAAACUUACGCUAAUACCGAAUACGACCUACGGGUGAAAGCAGGGGAUCUUCGGACCUUGCGCGAUUGAAUGAGACGAUGUCGGAUUAGCUAGUUGGCGGGGUAAAGGCCCACCAAGGCAACGAUCCGUAGCUGGUCUGAGAGGAUGAUCAGCCACACUGGAACUGAGACACGGUCCAGACUCCUACGGGAGGCAGCAGUGGGGAAUAUUGGGCAAUGGGCGCAAGCCUGAUCCAGCCAUACCGCGUGGGUGAAGAAGGCCUUCGGGUCGUAAAGCCCUUUUGUUGGGAAAGAAAAGCAGCAGGUUAAUACCCCGCUGUUCUGACGGUACCCAAAGAAUAAGCACCGGCUAACUUCGUG
rnacentral:rRNA from 1 species